GAUGAACGCUGGCGGCGUGCCUAAUACAUGCAAGUCGAGCGAACGGACGAGAAGCUUGCUUCUCUGAUGUUAGCGGCGGACGGGUGAGUAACACGUGGAUAACCUACCUAUAAGACUGGGAUAACUUCGGGAAACCGGAGCUAAUACCGUAUAAUAUUUUGAACCGCAUGGUUCAAAAGUUAAAUACGGUCUUGCUGUCUCUUAUAGAUGUAUCCGCGCUGCAUUAGCUAGUUGGUAAGGUAACGGCUUACCAAGGCAACGAUGCAUAGCCGACGUGAGAGGGUGAUCGGCCACACUGGAACUGAGACACGGUCAAGACUCCUACGGGAGGCAGCAGUAGGGAAUCUUCCGCAAUGGGCGAAAGCCUGACGGAGCAACGCCGCGUGAGUGAUGAAGGUCUUCGGAUCGUAAAACUCUGUUAUUAGGGAAGAACAUAUGUGUAAGUAACUGUGCACAUCUUGACGGUACCUAAUCAGAAAGCCACGGCUAACUACGUG
rnacentral:rRNA from 1 species